GAAGGCUAUAGCCGGAGCCACGAAAAAGUUCGGAAACAAAUUGCUUGGUCUUUGAGGAAUCGCCACACUGCCUUCCACAUGGAAAGGACACAAAUGGUUGAACUGAUUUACACUCCCACCAACUGUGUAUAAGUGUGCCUUUUUCUCCACAACCAGCGUGAAGACUAGAAGAAAAAGAAUGGAAGAAAGAAGUGAAAGAGAAACAAAUAGGGAAGGGGAUCCCUCGGAUGACUGGGAAGGAAAGGAAAACCAGAAAAAGCAGUCAGGAUGAAUGCCUGACAAAAAACUCUGCUGCAGUGACACUUUGACAUGAAGCAGAUUCAAACUUUCUAUGACUGAACAGGACAUUUUCCAUUUAUUGCUCCUUUGAUACCCAAGCUCCUCAAUGGGGGUAUUCUUCAAUGAGACACUUUUACCAGUGACCAUAUUCUUGCUUGUUGGUUUCUUUUUUUUUUAAAGUAUGUUGCUGCUGUACUUUUAAGAAAGUUGUGUUUUAUCUUAGUACUUUGAUAUUCAUAAAUGGUAUAAAGCAUAAUUUUACCACAUAGCUUUAAUGGAAUACUUUUUACAAACAAAAUAAAACUUGACCUUCUUCCACCCUAUCUCCACAUCGGAACUAAUUUUACUACAUUUUAUUUUUCAAAAACUAUUAAUUCAGUCAAUGAAUAUUGACUUUGGACUACAUUGGGUCAUUUUCAAUGGAUUGCUCUGGUACAGCUUUACUUUGUCAUGUCCUUUGUUCUUGCUCUUUCUUGUCUACCUACCAGUUAAAAUAUGAAACUCAUGAAGCAUUUAGCUCCCUGGAUAGUGAUUCCUGUAUCAGGGUGAAUCAUGCAAACUUUCAUAUUGUCUAAACUAUAAUUCAGAAAUAUAAUGUGGCUUAAAUGGGAACUUGGGGCUAAUGUUUAACAAGUGUGCACCAUACUUUAUCAGUUCUCUAAGAUUUAUUUUCUACAAACAAAAUUUUUUAUGUAACGGGCUACCUUUAAGUGGUAAUCCUAAAGGCCCUUUCUGACUUGUUCAUUAACUUUUUCAAGUCUUCAGGCCACUGAGUUAUCUGGUGCACAGAGUAAUACCAAAUCAUGUCUGAGAAAGGUUCCAUGAUUCCCAAAGUGCCUGAUUUUCCACGUCUUCCUGUAAGAAGUAGUAAUAGAUAUGCUAAAUGACUGGGGAAAUAAGAAUUAAGCCUACGGCUACUUUAAACUUUCCUAUGGAAAGAUUUUAAUGAGUUUCCAAGUAGACUGUUCAGCUGAGACAAUUUUAUAUAAUGUGGUAUAUAUGAUUUAAAAAUCUACAUCCAAAAAACACAUAAAAGACAUACCCUACUUUAGCUAUGUGUCACUAUACUCAGCUAUGUAUGCAUAAUAUAAUAUACAUAUAUACAUACACACAUGUAGUUUAGACACACCCUACUUUAGUUAUGUGAUAGUAUAUAUGUUUAUGACUUAGAAACCCUACUUUAGCUAGGUGUUAGUUUUUUUCUCUGACUCUAAAAUUAUGUGUUUUGUUUGUUUGUUUGUUUUUGGAGACAGAGUCUCACUCUGACCUCUGUCGCCCAGGCUGGAGUGAAGUGGUGUGAUCUCAGCUCACUGCAACCUCUGCUCCCGGGGUUCAAGCAAUUCUUCUGCCUCCGACUUCUGAGUAGCUGGGAUUAUAGGGGUGUACCACAAUGUCUGGCUAAUUUUAGUAUUUUUAGUAGAGAUGGGGUUUCACCAUGUUGGCCAGGUUGGUCUCGUACUCCUGACCUCAAGUGAUCCACCUGCCUCGGCCUCCCAAAUUGCUAGGAUUACAGGCGUGAGCCACUGCGCCCAGCCAAUUCUGUUUUGACUAUGAAGUAAUACGACUUAAAAUAUGAAUUACGGAAGCCAUGCUUCUGAGUCAUGCAGUGACCUUCCUCCACCCAUCCCCACGCCAGUGCCUCCCACUGUUAUUUUUGUGCAUUUGGCAUAACCAGUUUUCUUUAAUGAAAGAGAUUUCCUUUCCAAGAUAGGAGUGCAAGCUCCAGACUAAAAUUAUGAAAAUGCAAAUGAGUAGUGCUUCCUUUAUCCAAGUUGCUUUCUUCAGGUAUAUGUUGUAUGUGUGCUGUUGUUUGCUGGUAGCUAAAAGUCCAUUCUUUCAGCAGGAUUGUCUUCUGUCUCUAAGGGAACAAGAAUGACCAUUAAGUAAAAAACAUGUAUGAAAUUAUGCGGGUGAGAAUCUUUACCCCACUUUUUGUUCUUUUUGAUGGUAGAAAAACCUUUGUCUUGCAAAGGCAAAACUAGUAAAAACUUUCUGCCUUCGGCUUAAACAUUAAAUGAAAAUAUAUCUAUUUAAACAAUGUUUUAGGCUGGGUGCGGUGGCUCACGCCUGUAAUCCCAACACUUUGGGAGGCCAAGGCAGGCGGAUCACAAAGUGAGGAGUUCAAGACCAGCCUGGCUUAUAUGGUGAAACCCCGCAUCUCCUAAAAAUACAAAAAUUAGCUGAGCAUAGUAGUCGGCGCCUGUAAUCCUAGCUACUCAGGAGGCUGAGGCAGGAAAAUUGAGCCGAGAUCAUGCCACUGCACUCCAACCUGAGUGACAGAGUGAGGCUCCAUCUCAAAAAAAAAAAAAAUUGUUUUGCCCUGAAUGGGUAGACCGGUGGGUUUGAGUUCAGCUUUGGGAAAAGGUAGGAUGGUUUUCCUCUAAGCAUGAAGUAGGCAGAAUGUGCCUGUUUUGUCCUUUCAUGAGAGCAAUUUGAUCUAGAGGAAGUACGAGGCUUUAAACUCCGGGUCUACAGAAUUAAAGGAGGGUAAAAGAAGGACAGCAGGACCUGACACUGGGCUUCUUAUUGUUCCUGUCACAAUUUAAAUCAUUUGUUCACAGUUGGUCACAAGACCUCAGUCUAUUCCGUGCUGCAAGUGUAUUCUUUCAAAAAACAGGAAGCAACACUUAAGUAAUUGCAGAUUUACAGUGACUACCAGGCUGAUCCCAGCUCUUUGUCAUGGCUUUCCUGUUUGGGUCUGAAGGAAGUGGCGGAGAAAGGAGAGAGAGGGUGGGGGAAGAAACUGUUAGAAGGACGGGUUAGCCUGAGCCUGGCUUUGCCUUAGUGAAAGAGUGAUGAAAACACUUUAAACAGUUGCCGACAGGCCGGUAGAAAAUAUUUGACAUCUCACCUACAUCAACAAGCAAGAGUUAAAGGUUAAAUCACACACAACUCAAGUGCUGGGAAAAAAGGAUAGGUUUAGGUCAUCAACUUUCUUUGUUCUAGGACCGCCCUAUGUCAACAAGGAGACAUAUUCCCACUCCCUGGUUGGAGACACCAGGACAAUAGAGACUGAUCCACAUUUGCUCUGGGUGGUAAAUCCCCUUUUAAGCAUUUGUAGCUUGCCUCUAGUCUAGCCUUCUUCAUCGUUUUUUACCUGCUUCCAAAUACCUAUGUAUUUAGGGCAAUGUGGUUGGUGGCCUUUCUUCUUUCUUCAACCAGUUUCUUGAGAUCCCAAGCAUGAAGCUUAGUGUAGGAGGAGAACUAGGAAGUGAAAAGUGUUUGCAUCCAUUUCCUGUGUUGGUUCCAAAUUCAGUGAGCAUCCAACCUAAAUCCUUUGGAUGGUGGUAGGGCCAGGGAAAGGUGCUUUACAUUGCUGGUUCUCACACACUCUAGGUUUAAUGAUAGAAGGACCUUUCUGGAGAGGCAUUUAGUGCUUUUCACAAGGACUAUAACAAAAGGUGGGGCAGAUUUCUUCACUGGUUCAAGGAAGAUUUGAAUUGAAAUUUGGGAAGAAAGGAAAAUAUGCCCAGGGGAGCAAUGCAACACUGUUGUGGUGGAUGCCAACAGGUGUGUUAUAGAAUGAAAAAGAAACAGCAUAGAAAAGUACAUUUUAUCAUUUGGUGGGCCAAGGUCCAUUUUGAGAAUCUGGUGAGAGCCAUGAUUAUCUGCCUACACCAAAGUUUGUAUCCAUGCUUAGGAGGAUCAGAAAUUUUGAUGAUUUUUUUUUUUUUUUAAGAAUUCCUAGAAGUUCAGCUGGGCUCAGUGUUUCACGCCUGUAAUCCCAGCACUUUUGGAAGGCCGAGGAGGGUGGAUCACCUGAGGUCAGGAGUCUGAGACCAGCGUGGCCAACAUGGAAUACCUGCAUCCACAAAAUAUUAAUUGAAGUCCCAC
rnacentral:lncRNA from 1 species